UGUUACUCUAAAUGUGUUGAUUAUUAUUUUUAUUAACAGUAGAGAGAGUGCAGAGUGGUAAAUUACUCUCUUAUAGUUGAAUUUACCAAGAACAACACAUCAAAGUCUUGUGGUCUGUUUGGUCCCAAACGCAGCAGCGAAUGAGUUGAAGCAGCAGUGGCUGAAGAAGGCUGAAGAAGAAGACGAAGAAAACAAUGAAAAGAUACAUCAUGAGGUCGAAUCUGUUUCCGCUUCUCUUUGCAUUUGCCUUUCUGUUUUCGCCUGUGUUCUCUGCUUCGGAUCUAAUCCUCGCCAAGGUUGACCGUCGUCCGAGAGAUUUUUGACAAGUGGCAAGCUCAAAAAUGGUGGGGUGAGAAUUAUGACAGAAUCAUGGAGCUUUACAAUGUCUAGAGAUUCAAUCGACAAGCUCUUAACAUCCUUCCAGAUCUGAGGAUGAGUUCAUUGCACGUUUGACAUGCAGGAUCGUAUGGGGAGGUGUAUCGUGGUGCAUGGCGUGGAACACUGCUAUAAUAUUAUAUAGCAUCUCUGCUAUAUAAAGCAUCAUAAUCAAUCCAUGUUGGCAAUUUAAACCAAUCACAAGUGAUGUUAAUGCAAAGUUCCUUUUGAAAUUAAGGAUCAUAGCUUGAGUUUGGAGAUGCAGGUGGAAGUGGUCUGAAAAGAAGAUAUGUUCAAAGAGAUGGUCAAAAUAAUGAAAAGAUUGAGGCAUCCAAAUGUUGUUCUCUUCAUGGGAGCAGUAACUCGACCUCCAAAUCUUUCAAUUGUUACUGAAUUUCUUUCCAGCAAACCAGUAUGCAAAUGAGCCUGAGUCUUCUAUGGGUACAAGAGGAUCAUCUGGUGGUAGCAACAUUUAGGAUGUUGAUGAUAUUUUUAAGAUGAAACUAUUUUAGUGUAUUAUGAACUUUGAGUAAGUAUGGAUUAAGUUGUAAUUGUUUCAAUUUAAAUUGCUUUUAUGUUAAUAUGUUGAUUUUGAG